CGGACGGGUGAGUAACACGUGGAUAACCUACCUAUAAGACUGGGAUAACUUCGGGAAACCGGAGCUAAUACCGGAUAAUGUAUUGAACCGCAUGGUUCAAUAGUGAAAGACGGUUUUGCUGUCACUUAUAGAUGGAUCCGCGCCGCAUUAGCUAGUUGGUAAGGUAACGGCUUACCAAGGCAACGAUGCGUAGCCGACCUGAGAGGGUGAUCGGCCACACUGGAACUGAGACACGGUCCAGACUCCUACGGGAGGCAGCAGUG
rnacentral:rRNA from 1 species